GCGCCCGGGCUGCUCCGGCUUUCCGUACAGGCGCGGCGCAGCGGGCCCCUACCCGUCCCAGGCCGCCACUCUGCCGCUCGGGAGGUGGCUGGAGCCCUUGUGGUGGCUCAGAUUGCUGUGGUCCUCGUACUCUAGAGUCAACUUCCUGCCUAGGAAUGGUCUGCUGUAAACCUCACUUGCUGAGUAGAUUGCUUACUUUCUAGGACACAGGAGACUUAGUUAAGAGGCUGGCAACAACCUGGCAAGAAAAUACUAUUUGCUGGAUUCAUUGAUAAUAGUUUGGAGUUGCUUUUUUGGUAAGCCUUUUCUGAUGAAACUCUAAACAGCUGAUUUGUCUACUCCCUGUUUUAUGCUUCUCUAUAUCCUGGACCAGCUUUUACUAUAGUGCUGGUACUUCUCGAUUACUACUACUACUAAUCCUGUCUUUCCUCACCUAACUUCAGACACCUCAAUGACAAGGACUGUAGCUUUUGCGCUUUAUACCUCAGCACCAUGCAAGGCUCCUGACAUCACAUAGGUGCUCAAUAAGUUGUUGAUGAAUGAAUGAAUCAGCCACAUCCUCAAUCAAGGACAAAGGUGAGGUGGAGAGCUUAACCCCGUGACUUAGAUACAGGGUUAUCAAGCCACUUGUAAUUCAUUAAUGAAGUCCAGAAGAGUGCCAGAAAUGAGAUAGCUUAAAUAAUGUACUCCCAAUAAAACUCACGUAUUUUUACUUUCUAUCAUCAAGGUAUUUCAAACAAAUUGGUCAUGAUAUAAGCCCUUGUUUUAAAAUUGCUGCUAAGGAUAGGUUUAUAACAAAC
rnacentral:lncRNA from 1 species